UAUACUUGGAUUUGUAACUGUAUUUGAGUUUGUUUGUAUUUUUUUUCCAAUUUCAGUUUCUAAUUAUAAUUUAUUUGCUUUACAUUGUUCAUAUCGAUCUAUCGUCAUGUAGCUUUUUAGUGUUCAAAUCCAUGUAGCUUUGUAGCUUUUUAGUGUUCAACUAAGUUAUGGUACCAUAAUUUAAAAAUUAUUAUUUGAUUAGUUAGUAAAAAAUAAAAAUAAUUGACUAAUCAGAUAAUAAAAUAAUGAGGUAAAAUUUCAUACGAACUCGCUUCUUUUGUCGCUCUGGUUCUCUUCUUCGUACACACUCUCCCUCUUUUGUCGCUCACAUAUCGUAAAGCACGCCGCAGGCUAUACCGAGAACCUGCCAGCGUAAGUAAGACAGCCACUAUUCGCAGGUUUGCUAUAAUAAGUAAUUAUACAAAAUCAUUAAAAUAAAAAUUGAAUUUUCAUCAUUUACAGGAUCUUCUUCCUUUUGAUAGCGACGCGAGAAAAAAGACGAACAUACCCAAACUCAGGAAAUAUAAUGUGAUACACAAGAAGAAAGAGAUACCUUAUAAAACACAGCAGCUCAUAGUACCAAACGACUGUAUAAUAGACCAGUUCAAAUAUCCUGAUUACCAAUUCAGUAAAUGCAACCUUAUUAGAAACAUUAAAAAAAUAAAAAAAAAAAUCGCUAACCAAGUACUCCUGCAACCGAAGAAGAUGAGUUUCCGCCAUCACUAGUAUCUGCCUUCAAAUCGAACCACAAAUCUUUUUCACUAAAGUAAUCAUAGAGCAUAUCUCUUUGUAGCUCCAAAUGAAACCUUUUUAAAACUUAAUGU
rnacentral:lncRNA from 1 species